UGCGCAACAUUAACGUAGAUGAAAUUCAUUUGCAUGAACUGCGUCCGGCCCGCUGUGCCUGGCCACUUCACCCUGCUCCUAAAAGACUGCAUAAGGAAGGCAAACCCAUUUAUUUUGGGCAUCUACUAUCAACACAACAUCUUAUUCCUCAUAUUGUAACCAGUAACAGGGGUUCGCAUGCCUGCGGACGAGUUCCGUGGGAUCCAUCGAAGCAGCUGAGACCUGGUGUUGCGCUCCUCCCUUCGUCUGCAACCUUGCAUCUCGGACACCACUGUUGCAAGUUCUCUAAUCAGCUCCAAUCUGCCACACUCCACACAAUAAUUCCUCAACUUUUCAAUCUUGUUACUUAUUCGUCCACUACCUGCACCAGUCCUUUAUCUGAAAUUGUUAUUAGUGCUUUGUAACUCCCAAUUUGGAACCAGAGGGAAAGUAUUUUUGAAAUCAAUGAACAUGACAACUAUGUCUUAGUGGGUUUUCCAUGUUUUAA